rnacentral:rRNA from 1 species
UGCUAAUAGAUUUUCUUAUUAGUACCCUCUGCUCAAUGAAAUUUUAAAUAGCCGCAAGAUUUUUAUUGUGCUAAGGUAGCAUAAUCAUUUGCCUUUUAAUUAAAGGCUAGUAUGAAGGAGAUCACACCUCAAUCAUUUUAUUUCAAUUAAAUCUGAAAUUAAUUCAAACAUUAAAAAGUGUUUAUAAAUUAGAAAGACGACAAGACCCUAUCGAACUUCACUUUAGUUUAGCUGGGGCAGCUAAUUAAUUAAAAUUUUAAUAAAUAUAUUUUAAGAUAUACGACCCAAUAAAAUUGAUUAAUAGAUCAAGUUACCGUAGGGAUAACAGCGUAAUAUCUUUAUAAAGUUCGUAUUUAAAAAGACGUUUGCGACCUCGAUGUUGAAUACUAACCUACUAAGCGCAAUAGCAUGGAAAGGGGGUCUGUUCGACCUAUAAAAAAGUACA